rnacentral:rRNA from 1 species
UACGUAGGUGACCAGCGUUGUCCGGAUUUACUGGGCGUAAAGAGCGCGCAGGCGGUCGUUCAAGUCGAGUGUGAAAGCCCCCGGCUCAACUGGGGAGGGUCACGCGAUACUGCUCGACUUGAAGGCAGGAGAGGGAAGUGGAAUUCCCGGUGUAGUGGUGAAAUGCGUAGAUAUCGGGAGGAACACCAGUGGCGAAGGCGACUUCCUGGCCUGUUCUUGACGCUGAGGCGCGAAAGCUAGGGUAGCAAACGGG